rnacentral:rRNA from 1 species
GAUGAACGCUGGCGGCGUGCCUAAUACAUGCAAGUCGAGCGAACAGAUGAGGAGCUUGCUCCUCUUACGUUAGCGGCGGACGGGUGAGUAACACGUGGAUAACCUACCUAGAAGACUGGGAUAACUUCGGGAAACCGGAGCUAAUACCGGAUAAUAUAUUGAACCGCAUGGUUCAAUAGUGAAAGACGGUUUUGCUGUCACUUAUAGAUGGAUCCGCGCCGCAUUAGCUAGUUGGUAAGGUAACGGCUUACCAAGGCAACGAUGCGUAGCCGACCUGAGAGGGUGAUCAGCCACACUGGAACUGAGACACGGUCCAGACUCCUACGGGAGGCAGCAGUAGGGAAUCUUCCGCAAUGGGCGAAAGCCUGACGGAGCAACGCCGCGUGAGUGAUGAAGGUCUUCGGAUCGUAAAACUCUGUUAGUAGGGAAGAACGAAUGUGUAAGUAACUAUGCACGUCUUGACGGUACCUAAUCAGAAAGCCACGGCUAACUACGUG